GCAGCCCCAAGGCAGCUUGGAGACAGAAGCCCUGUGCCCCUGACCCCUCACAGUCUGGGCAGCCUCAGGAAAGUCUCCCAGAGCUAGAGGUUUUCCCGGCAGCUCCAAGCGAGGCUUCCUGAGAGUUCGAGGCGGUGCAGAGAGACCACCCUGGGGAACCGGCCAUCUCCAGAAACCGGGGAACCAUCCGUGGUGUGGGCCCAGCAAGGCCCCCUUCCCAGCGUGGCUGACUUCGCCUCUGAAUUAAUCUGGAUUUUUAAGUGCAAUUAAAGAGGAUGCCCCAGUCAUGAAGAGAGGCGGAGACAGACCACAGGCCCGUGGGGCAACCGGAAAACCCCUCCUCACUAAGAAUGAACUCCAAGGGGCUUCCCCGUCCCCCGCUGAGGUGGACUUCCGGCCUGGCAUCAGGAGCAGCCCACCUGCCUUCCCGGCCCUGGCCCGCCAGGCUGUGUCCCCCUGAGCCGACUGGGCCAUUCGCACCUCCAGGCGCUGGUUCCUGCCAUGCCUCUGCAAGACGUACCAUCUCCAAAACCGCUGUUCACAGCGGAUCAGCCCGGCGCAGCCUGCCCAUCCACCGUGCCCCUAUCCAGAAGCAAGACACAGCCUGGGCUGGGCCGUGAGGGUCCGUGACCUCCCACACCACACCGUGGCCCUCACUGCACUCUCAGUGCUGGGCUCCUACAGGUGAGCCUCCCCCAGGAUGAGUGUGGUGUCCCAGAGCCAUCUGAGCCCCCUCUUGUGGGUCAGGCCUGCCUUCUCAGGGUUCAGCUCAGUCCUGCUGAUGACAGCUGUGACUCAGGCCCGACAGCCCUUCAGGAACUCUCAUUAUCUUCCCCAGUUUACAGCUGGGGAAACUGAGGCUCGGAGUGAGCCAGCCCCUCCCCGUCCUGUCUCCCUUCCCUGCUGGGUCCACCCACUCAGGGCUUUCUAAGAGGGUGGAUUUUAAUUAAGCCAGUUUGUAAUUACCCACCUGCAUUUUACUUAAUAAACUCGGGGGAGUUUUCA
rnacentral:lncRNA from 1 species